GACGAACGCUGGCGGCGUGCUUAACACAUGCAAGUCGAACGGUGAAGCGCCUUCCUUUUUGGUGGGUGUGGAUGAGUGGCGAACGGGUGAGUAACACGUGAGUAACCUGCCCCCUUCUUCUGGAUAACCGCAUGAAAGUGUGGCUAAUACGGGAUAUUCUGGGUCUGUCGCAUGAUGGGUCUGGGAAAGAUAUUGUUUCGGUGGGGGAUGGGCUCGCGGCCUAUCAGCUUGUUGGUGGGGUGAUGGCCUACCAAGGCGGUGACGGGUAGCCGGCCUGAGAGGGUGGACGGUCACACUGGGACGGAGACACGGCCGAGACUCCGACGGGAGGCAGCAGUGGGGAAUAUUGCACAAUGGGCGCAAGCCUGAUGCAGCGACGCCGCGUGAGGGAUGGAGGCCUUCGGGUUGUGAACCUCUUUCGCCAGUGAAGCAGGCCUGCCUCGUUUGUGGGUGGGUUGACGGUAGCUGGAUAAGAAGCGCCGGCUAACUACGUG
rnacentral:rRNA from 1 species